rnacentral:misc_RNA from 1 species
AUAUGGCUUGUGGGAACAAGUCCCGCAUUGGUAGUAUAUAAGAAAAAUAAAGGGCAUAUAAAUGUUGGCAAACCAAACCAAAAUGGUUUGGCGAUAGGGAGCCAAUUUCAAAUCCAAUUCAGCUUGUAGCCCUGUCAAUUUGAUGAUUCACACUCCUAGGCCCAUAAUCCUCAACAGGACCUAAAUGAGCCAAGCAAUUGAAGCUUGACUUGAAUUGCUGGCUAAUGGCUUGAACAAGCUCUAUCAAGCUGAGACUUUGAGCCAUUAAAUCACAACUAGGUUUACUGCAGCCUUAACUAAGAUCCAUAUUUAUAAGGAUGGAUAUACCUCAAAGAAUAAAAAUGUACGUUACCCUAUUAAAAAAGUAACAAAAUGCAGUUCAGUUUGACUAACAGUUUGGUUUGGCCUGAACACAAUAAAAAAGUAAAUGGAAAAAAUAAACCAUAUUAGACUAAACCAAACUGUUAAUGCUGUGCUGUAUGAGGUUCAGACUGAAGAACCAUAUAGUGAACACCCCACUGGUUCAAUAGGAAAAUUGUUUAUUGGCUACAACUUAGGAAGGUUUUUAGUUAUUUUCUCUAUACGUUUAUCUCAAUUUUGAUUUGAAUGUUAAACUCCAAGCGGUUUUUACUGCUUCGAAUAACCAGCAAUCUUCAAAGUUUUUAUUUGAAUAUAAUAAUUUAAAAAGAUACUAACCCCCUGUUUGGAUUGAGUGCAGGAUUUAUUCAUGUAUCGUAUCGCAUAAUAUUAUAUGGUAUGUUUUUUAUUGUUAACAUGUAUGGAACUAUUGUAUGGUAUAGGAUAGUUUAAUAACUUUCCCUUGUUUGGUUAGAUGGUAUGAUAUAGUGAAAUAAUUAUAAAGAUUACCAAAAUACCUUAUAUUAUUG